UUUUAUUUAGUUUAAAAAAAACUUUACAUUUUCAUUGUAAAAUUAGAUUAAUUCUAAUAAAUA
rnacentral:tRNA from 1 species